UACGGGAGGCAGCAGUGGGGAAUAUUGCACAAUGGGCGCAAGCCUGAUGCAGCCAUGCCGCGUGUAUGAAGAAGGCCUUCGGGUUGUAAAGUACUUUCAGUCGUGAGGAAGGUGUUAAGGUUAAUAACCUUAGCAAUUGACGUUAGCGACAGAAGAAGCACCGGCUAACUCCGUGCCAGCAGCCGCGGUAAUACGGAGGGUGCGAGCGUUAAUCGGAAUUACUGGGCGUAAAGGGCACGCAGGCGGUUAAUUAAGUUGGAUGUGAAUCCCCGGGCUUAACCUGGGAAUGGCAUUCAAGACUGGUUAGCUAGAGUCUUGUAGAGGGGGUAGAAUUCCAUGUGUAGCGGUGAAAUGCGUAGAGAUGUGGAGGAAUACCGGUGGCGAAGGCGGCCCCUGGGACAAAGGCUGACGCUCAUGUGCGAAAGCGUGGGGAGCAAACAGGAUUUAGAUACC
rnacentral:rRNA from 1 species